GCUUGCUUGGUGGAUCAGUGGCGAACGGGUGAGUAACACGUGAGCAACCUGCCCUGGACUCUGGGAUAAGCGCUGGAAACGGCGUCUAAUACUGGAUAUGAGCUCCUUCCGCAUGGUGGGGGUUGGAAAGAUUUUUCGGUCUGGGAUGGGCUCGCGGCCUAUCAGCUUGUUGGUGAGGUAAUGGCUCACCAAGGCGUCGACGGGUAGCCGGCCUGAGAGGGUGACCGGCCACACUGGGACUGAGACACGGCCCAGACUCCUACGGGAGGCAGCAGUGGGGAAUAUUGCACAAUGGGCGGAAGCCUGAUGCAGCAACGCCGCGUGAGGGAUGACGGCCUUCGGGUUGUAAACCUCUUUUAGCAGGGAAGAAGCGAAAGUGACGGUACCUGCAGAAAAAGCGCCGGCUAACUACGUGCCAGCAGCCGCGGUAAUACGUAGGGCGCAAGCGUUAUCCGGAAUUAUUGGGCGUAAAGAGCUCGUAGGCGGUUUGUCGCGUCUGCUGUGAAAUCCCGAGGCUCAACCUCGGGCCUGCAGUGGGUACGGGCAGACUAGAGUGCGGUAGGGGAGAUUGGAAUUCCUGGUGUAGCGGUGGAAUGCGCAGAUAUCAGGAGGAACACCGAUGG
rnacentral:rRNA from 1 species